rnacentral:rRNA from 1 species
GGCAGUUGGUGAGGUAAUGGCCCACCAAACCUAUAACCGGUACGGGCUCUGAGAGGAGAAGCCCGGAGAUGGGCACUGAGACAAGGGCCCAGGCCCUAUGGGGCGCAGCAGGCGCGAAACCUCUGCAAUAGGCGAAAGCCUGACAGGGUUACUCUGAGUGAUUUCCGCUAAGGGGAUCUUUUGGCACCUCUAAAAAUGGUGCAGAAUAAGGGGUGGGCAAGUCUGGUGUCAGCCGCCGCGGUAAUACCAGCACCCCGAGUGGUCGGGACGAUUAUUGGGCCUAAAGCAUCCGUAGCCGGUUCUGCAAGUCUUCCGUUAAAUCCAGCCGCUCAACGGAUGGGCCGCGGAGGAUACUACAGGACUAGGAGGCGGGAGAGGCAAGCGGUACUCAGUGGGUAGGGGUAAGAUCCUUUGAUCCAUUGAAGACCACCAGUGGCGAAGGCGGCUUGCCAGAACGCGCUCGACGGUGAGGGAUGAAAGCUGGGGGAGCAAACCGGAUUAGAUACCCGGGUAGUCCCAGCUGUAAACGAUGCAGACUCGGUGAUGGGCUAGCCUUGUGCCAGCCCAGUGCCGCAGGGAAGCCGUUAAGUCUGCCGCCUGGGGAGUACGGUCGCAAGACUG